AGUCGCAGCCCUUCUCUUUUCUUGCGCGUGCGUGCAGCUCCUAUGCUCAGCCUAAGAGGUAGAGGGGCCGUGCGGAGUGUGGGCCCGAGGGUCCGUAGAUGACGUAUCAGUCGAUAGGCAUUUAUUCUACUGUUCGAGGAAAACAAAUAAGGGUGCAGCUUAGGCGAAAAGAAAAACAUCUUAUUGCCAGUGUCUAAACUCCAACGGAAUGUGUCUGAGACCGUGUGUAUGGAUACACGUGUACUUGAAUCAGCCCCGCCUGUGUGUACAGCUCUUGCUGUAAGUCAACGCUUUACCGGAGCUAUCGCACUUAAGCCUCAGAACAACUUUAUGAGACGAUUUCUCAGAAGUGGGAAUACCAGUUCCCAAAAGGUCUGUGAAGUGUCAGACCUCAAGACAGACAACAACUGUUUCAUUAGGUUCACAGUAUCUAGUGCACUAAUCAUAAACCUGUACAACAUUUACCGAAAUCUGUUGGUAAUGUGGUCUACUUCUAACAGGCUUGUUUAUAUGCAUUCUUAUUCUAUCCUGGAUUGGAAUCAGAAAAUUGGACAGUGUUGCAGGUUCUGACUGAUGCAGGCACACUGACAGUGAUGAAAGUGAGAACUGUGUCCUCUGAUGUACAACUCCAGUGGGCAACAUUUACAUUGUAAUGUAUGUAAAUGACAUUUCCUGAAGCACCAUUAAGAGGCUACAGAAUGUAUCUUCCAGGAGGGCAGGCCUAUAUCUUUUUGCUUACUCCAGCUCCCGUCUAGCAAGUGUUUGACACAUAAAAGAUGUUCAGUAAGUACUGGAUUGGUUCCUGGAAGUGGAACUACUAUUAUCAAAGAUUUGGACACUUUUGACUCCAGACAAGUAAUAUAGUAAUAGUAAAUUUCGUUGCAUUCUUAGCAACACUACCUGUUAGCACUUCUUUUCUUUUUUUCUUUUUUUAACAUCUCUAUUGGAGUAUAAUUGCUUUACAGUGUUGUGUUUCUGCUGUAUAACAGAGUGAACCAGCUGUAUUUAUACAUAUAUUCCCAUGUCCCCUCCCUCUUGGGUCUCCCUCCCACCCUCCCUAUGCCACCCCUCUAGGUGGUCACGAAGCACGGAGCUGAUCUCCCUGUUCUAUGUGGCUGCUUCCCACUAGCUAUCUAUUUUACAUUUGGUAGUAUAUACAUGUCAAUGUUACUCUCUCACUUCGUCCCAGCUUACCCUUCCCCCUCCCCAUGUCCUCAGGUCUAUUCUCUACAUCUGAGUCUUUAUUUCUGUCCUGCCCACAGUUUCUUCAGAACAACUUUUAUUUUUCAGAUUCCAUAUAUAUGGGUUAGCAUACGGUAUUUGUUUUUCUCUUUCUGACUUACUUCACUCUUUAUGACAGACUCUACAUCCAUCCACCUCAAUACAAAUAACUCAAUUUCGGUUCUUCUUAUGGCUAAUAUUCCAUUGUAUAUAUGUGCCACAUCUUCUUUAUCCAUUCAUCUGUCGAUGGACACUUAGGUUGUUUCCAUGUCCUGGCUAUUAUAAAUAGUGCUGCAAUGAACAUUGUGGUACAUGACUGUUUUUGAAUUAUGGUUUUCUCAGGGUAUGUGCCAGUAGUGGGAUUGCUCGGUCAUAUGGUAGUUCUAUUUUUAGUUUUUUAAGGAACCUCCAUACUGUUCUCCAUAGUGGCUGUAUCAAUUUACAUUCCCACCAACAGUGCAAGAGGGUUGCCUUUUCUCCACACUCUCUCCAGCAUUCAUUGUUUCUGGAUUUUUUGAUGAUGGCCAUUCUGACUGGUGUGAGGUGAUACGCCAUUGUAGUUUUGAUUUGCAUUUCUCUAGUGAUUAGUGAUGUUGAGCAUCCUUUCAUGUUAGCACUUAUUUUCAAUCUCUGUCAAUCUGAUGGGAAGACUUUCUGUAAUUUAGUUUGAUAAAGUUGCAUUUUUGCUGAUCCACUCAAUAACUUUACUAUUUCAAGGACUUAUAAUUCUUUGUCUUCUCCAUGAUGCUUAACAGAGCCUUGCUAAGAUACAGAAGAAAUGUAUUUUUUUAUUGGCUUUGGCAGCAUUUCUUUUAAAGUACAUUAUAUCUUGAACACAUAGAAAGGUGAAGAAAGAUAACAUCAAAAAGGAUCCAAAUUAUUUUACUUAAUAAAAAGUAAGACUGUAUUCAAUUCUUAAUGUAGUCAUAGAGCAUUAUUACCAUCAGCCAGCAAUAUCAUAUUUUAUUUAUUGAAAUCAUAUUGAAUUUAUUGCAUAAUGUGCCAUUUUUACUACAGCACUUUUCAAAAUGCUUCAAAAUGCUUAGUCUAUAAGGUUAAGAAAAACAUUCACUAGAUAACUACUUUGAAAUAAUUUCCUCGAUUCUGCCUUCAUUCAAGAGGCCUAAAAACAGACUGGCCCACUUCCAACUUUCAUGUUAUCUUUGCUAUGAAGUCAUUCUAUAGAUAGGUUAAUAAGCAUUCUGGCAUACAAAAAAAUAGUUUCUGUAAAACUAUAUUGCAUAGUUUGGCUGGGGUUGUUCCUCCUUCAGAACUGCAUUACGUAAUUUUAAAGUAUUUACUUAAGCUCCUUUGGGCUGCCUCCAUGGUAGCUAUGAAGUCACUGAGAAUUAGGAACAGUUUGGGGCCUGAUAACAAAGUCUAUUAGUUUAAUGCGAACACUUUGUCAAUUUUUUUUAUCACUGCCAUAUAAGGAACUUUAAAAACAAGGAUAUUAAUUCAUUUUAUUUUUUUAAAAAGUUUGCUACUUC
rnacentral:lncRNA from 1 species